UAUGAGAGCUCACAAAGUUUCUCAAAAGAUAAUACAUCAACCUCAACAAUUUGUGAAAAUAUGGAACAGAAUUCACUAUCCGUGGUGACCUUGUGUAACCAAAAAAUGGUAAUUAUUAUACCAAUAGCCACUGCAAUUCUAAUUUAAAAAAUAUCUUCAAAUUGUUCCUAUUAAUGAUUCUCAUAACUAAAUCAUGCUAGUCUUAGUCUGACAUAAAUUUUGAUUUGUUACCAUUCCUUCUCACCAAUCUUGUUUACAAACCUUCCCAAUUCAAUCGAAAGGAGCUAAUCUGGUUCAACGGAUGAUAAAUGGAUGACCUCAACCAGCAGAUUGGCUCUUCUCCUCCGUCCCCCAUCUUCUUAAAUACUUGCUGCAGUUCAAGUAAAACAACAUACGUCUCUCCUGGGGGUUUGAUUGCCUCCGAUUUUUCUGUUAGAUUUUCAGUUGCCCAAUAUCUUCCGAACCCUCUGUGCCUCCAAAGUGGAUUCAGUACUGAGAUCCCCAUUUCGACACGUAACUUUUCCGGUGAACAAGUGAUCCCUGAGAUGGACAACCGUCUCAUUCUCCCAGGAUUCUAUAGGUUUAUACUUCUCACUAUCAUGAAACUUCAGAAUCUAAGAAUUGUUCUACGUUCACGCUGCUAUCCACUGCCCCAUUAUUUCUGCCAGCCUUAAAGAUACUCCACCUUUUUUUCUUUCUUCUUUGGUGAAAGAAGCACGGAUUUCAUAGAAGACCAUUGCAGGUUUGAUUAGUAUUGUUGCCACUUGAUGGCUUUGCCAUUCUUUGUUAAAUUCUUACUAACGCACGUUAUUA